GACGGAUGAUAUCAAGGAUCUCAAGCCAUUGAAUGAUAGAGUAUUUAUAAAGGUAGCCGAGGCUGAAGAGAAGACUUCUGGAGGCUUGUUGCUGACAGAGGCAACCAAAGAGAAACCUUCUAUUGGCACUGUGGUAGCAGUUGGGCCUGGAACUGUUGAUGAGGAAGGCAACAGGAAACCCCUAUCCGUCUCCCCGGGAAACACAGUCUUGUACUCAAAGUAUGCAGGGAAUGACUUUAAGGGAAGUGAUGGUACCAACUACAUUGCACUAAGGGCUUCCGAUGUGAUAGCAGUGCUCUCUUAAUUGUCUUGUGUGUUUUACAUGAAUCACUGAAUUUUGUGGAGCCGCCUCAAGGAUGUGGAAAUGUAGUAUUUGAACAUAGAUUGAUUGCUGCUUCACUGUUCCAAGUUGAUUUAUAGCGCAAGUUUCUUUUAUGGAAUUUCUGGCACUUGUUUAAGUUUAUUCAUUUUGGAGUGAAGCUGUGUUUGGAAAUAUAUCAGGUGCACUGGAACUAUCGGUAAUAACUUGAACAAGUCCAACCUCGGCCUUGGUACUGUUAGGAUUGUUUCCUCUUUUUAUGGGCAAAGCAUAAUGAAAAGGGAGAAUGGGAAUUUAACUUUUUUUUUUUUUAUGUAUUUUAUUCUUUCCCAUUUUAUCAACCCAUUAGUGAUAUUGAUGGAUUGAAAUUUUUUUUUCCCCAUUGCAUUGCUGAGAAAGUUCAUGGGCCAAAGCUCAGAGACAACAAAGGCUCAAAACGCAGCCUAAUUAAUAGGCCUCUAAAAACACAUGAAUCCAAGCCUACAACAUUAUAACUCUAGAACAGCUGAGCGCCAGGGAGCAAGAUGCAAAGCCUCUGGCCAUCAUGCAGGAUGCAGCCACGUCUAAGCCGUUCCUUGCCCUUUCCAGUGCCGUGUGCCACAGCACCGGUAAUCAUCAGAAGCACAAGAAAAUAGGCCAACAACAGCCAUGCAUGGCACAGAAAGGAGAAGGUACUUCACCAAAGCAACAGAACCCGUCAGAAACCCACGCCUUCCGCCGGGUUCAAACAGUCAGUGGCUCUGUAGGAGAGGAAAAGAGAGUCUAGCUUCUCAGUCUCAUCUCAAGUAGCCGUUGAUGAGGGGUCGACCGUCACCAUUUGCGGAUAUCAAGUCUCCUAGAAGCAAAACUAGAGAAAAAGAGAAUGUGCCUACUAUUUGUUUAGGAUGAUCAGGUAUUCUGAAUGUUUUAACUUAAUUUUCGAUGUGAAUAAUUAAGUUCCAAAUAAUCCAAAUUUUUGCUUAUUUUAUUUAAGAGAAACUGAACUACAUAACAGAUCAACUAAUCCAAUUCCCACGUCAGUCCAUUUUGGAUAAUAAACAGUAGCUAUAGGGUCUUCGACUGACAGAUCAGUUGGGCCAUUGUACGCUUCGUUUUUGAAGCUCAUUGCUACUACCGUAAAUUCACGAGUAUCAACUUUAUGCCCAGUAGUUUAGAUAACAAUAAACCAUAUCAUUAUCAUUAAUUACCGUUAAGCAGUUGAAAAUAUUGUCAACAAAAUGAACAGAAUCAGUGAUCGAGAAAUUGCUCUCCAUCAUUUACAAGGAAUCGUUUGUCAGACUGAACUUCAAAUUACGUAAAGAUCAUAUCAUACAUCUAAUCCUUUUGUUCUGCUUUCCACUGUACUUCAAAAUCCUACUUCCUCCCGUACGUCGCCAAACUGCUUCCAUCUAUCAUUGGAAAGCCAAAAGUUGCAAGAAAAGUAGAUGCCAACAUUUAGUGAAAAUGGUAAUAUCAUAGCUGCGCCCUUUGCAUGUAGAACAUAAGAGCCACUACUUCAGAAGCUGCUCAACCUCCAUGUAACAAUGUUUCCCUUUGUUACUGGAGUACCUUAAGUACGACCAAUUUCCCCUUAAGAGUUGAUAGGUGCCAUGACAGUCGCAACUGCCAUUGCUAAAGGGCCAAGAUAACUGUACCGUGAAGUCCAUUAACUGCUCCUAUUAUCAUUAUACAGCUCUUAUCUAUUAAAUGAGGCAGCUGAAUUAUCAUCAUAAUGCCCUCUCCAUGCAUUUCCACUGUUAGUCCCACUGCAGGCUUGCUUGGGAACCGGUAAACUACCAAGAUCUCCAUCUAAACUCAUUUGCUGCACUUCAGCAGAUGACAAUAUCUUUAUGCUCUGAACACAGCUUACAAACUCCUCCCAAGGGUCAUCGCCGACAAGUAGUAUGUCAUUCUCAUGAUCCACAUAAACUAAUUUCCAGUCAGAACUUUGUGGAUCUUCUAGUUGCCCUUCAAUACCAAACAUGCGGGCCAGGUCAUGUCUAAGUUCGUCAUAGCCUUUAUAACGGGUCACAUCAAUAGAUCUUCCUACAGAUCCACGCUUUUGAACCUUCACAAUUUUGAACCAGCGUCAGGCAUUAAAAAUUUCAUAAAGAAAAAUAUGAACCAACUAAUUCUGUACUUAGAAAAACAAAUUGUUGAAGAGAUCCUGGCAUAGCUAAAGUGCCAAAAGCUGGUGUUGUAGCAAUAAUUAGACAACUCGGAUUAAAGCUGUCUUCACCACGUAAAGAUGAAUUGUUAAUUGAUUGAUAGAACAAAAAACAUCUAGCACUUCUCUCUUCUAUAUUUGAAUGAACACUGCACCAUCUAAAAAUAAUAAGAAAAAUUAAAAAAAUAAAGGAAAAGAAAAUUCUGUUGGGAUAGCAAGAGUGUGCGUGUCAAAGUCCCACAAUGGAGAAAAGAUAUACUAAGUGAGAGAUACAAGAGGCAAGGACCUAUGGACCUAAUUUCUUAAAGUUUGGUUAAAAUAUGGUGUCCAACUCAUGAGUAUGGAUCUCUUACAAGGCCUUGCAAGAAGUCUCCCAGCAUUUUGGGCUCUCCUGCUCCUAACAAAUUCACUCCUUGUUGGGCAUGUGAGACUGUUCUUUUAUUACUUCCACCUAGCUUCUCGACCAGUUAAUAUUUUUUCGAGAGGGGGAGAAAGAGACAUGACAAACCUUUGUAUAUGUUCGCAUGCGUUGAGUCUGGUUGGCCCACAAUCCACCAUUCAAAACCCCAGAAUCAUUGAUUGGAACAUCAUUAGAACAUCCAGGCUUGAACGGUAUGUUUGGCACCCCAAAAGAUUGAGAGCUUAUUGCAGCAGUGGACAACUCUGUCUCAACAUCUCUUGGAGUCCCACCAUAAUUAGUUAGCAAGUUUUGAAGAUCUUUUUGGGAGUCAUAUCCCCUUGACAACAAAGUGUCAGGUGCCAAGCUAUCAAUAUUAGUUGCAAAAGGUAGACUGUUCCUAGGAUGUGAUUGGACAUCACCAUCCAAACCAAAGGUAGGGAGCGAGAAAUUUUGUUGGCUGUUACCAGCGUCCAGGCAAUAUGAUGUUCCAGAAGAAGAAAUUUCCAAUUGAUCAGUCAUUGCACCUUUGUAUUUUAGUUGGUCUAAUCCUUUUGAACUGGGAAACUCAUGUUUAACUUGAAUAUCAGACUUGCUAUUAAGCUCCUGAACUAGAUUAGUUGCAGGCUCAAUCACCGGGUCCCCCAGUAAUACAGCUGGUGAUUCUUGGUUUCUGUUUAGAAAAUUUGAUGGGGAAAUUUGGCAGUUUUCAGUGGAGGGUGAGGUUGAACAAGAUGGAGCAUCUCCAUCUGUAAGAGUGGAAUGGGCUCUAAUUGUUGUAGGUGACUUCUGUAGCACACGGGAAUGAUACACGGGAAAGGAUUGAGAUUGCAUGAGUGCAGCUGUUGAGAAGCUAUUGCUACUGAGUGGCUGACUCUGUGAAAGAGGCGACUGCUGGAAGUGCUGGUUUUGUUGAUGGUUCUGCUGUUGUUGCAAUAGCUGAGGCUGCAAAGGUGAGCUCGUAGGGGAAAGCAAUUGCUGCUGCUGUUGUUGCUGCAAUUUCUGCAGCAAUUGCAAUUGAAGCUGCUGCUCAGAGAGGCUGGGUUGUGAUAGUUGUUGCCCUUGUGGCUGUGGCGGUGGUUGUGGUUGUGUUCUCUGUGACAGGUUUUGUUGCAACAGCUGCAGUGGGGACUGUUGCAAUUGUGUCUGCUGCUGGUGCCUCUGCAGGAGGCUAGAUUGUUGCUCCAUUUGUUGCUGGAAUGGAGUAUCCUGUGGCAAAGAGGUCAGCUGAUACGAACUCUUAUUAGCAGGGGGGAUAUUUUGGGAUUGGGUAUUGCUUGCUAGUAGCUGCUGCUGCUGUUGAACCUGAGAGUAUACCAUCUGUUGCUGCAAAUUUUGAUUUGAAAUUUGGCUAGGGGUAACACUACCAUUAUUUACAAGAGGUUGGAAUAUGUGCUGCUGCUGCUGCUGUUGUAAUUGUGGAGGCUGUUGUCGUAUUUGUCGAGGCUGUGGCUGCGGCUGUGGUUGUGGCUGCGGCUGCUGCUGCUGGCUCAAUUGCUGUUGCUGUGGUGGUUGUGGUUGCUGCCUCUGCUGUUGUUGUUGGGGAUGAGGCUGCUGCUGCAGCUGUUGAGGCUGAGCUGGCUGCUGUUGGCUGAUAUUGGCCUGCAAUAAUUGCUGCAGUUGCUGCUGUUGGGUCCAUGUGGUAGAUGGCUGUGGCAGCUGGCCAACUUGGUUUUGUGGAUUUGCUUUGUUGAACUGGAUACUUGGUACAGACAGGCCAGGGGCUUGAAAAUUCAGUAACUUUGAGGGAUCAUCGGUGCUAACGUUAUUAUGCAAGGCAUUAGAAGGAAGCAUGGAUGGGAAGUAUCCUGCUUGAGUAGCUGGAAAUUGAUUAUUUUGUUGCAUGCUCAUCCACUGAACUAAACUCAAACCAGGGAAAAUCGAGCUUGGGGUAUCUUUCAUUCCAAAGUCAUCUCCAAGCCAAGGCAUGGCUCUUUUAAAAGCAUUCUCAGUGUCAGACUCAUCAUCUGGCAUCCCUGGCGGUUUAGGGAACUUGGGUCUGAAAAAUGGUGGGGGGCAAAUGUAGAAAGGAGUUACUACAGGCUCAAUCUCCCAAAUUCCAACUCGGCUUGGCCGUUCACCAGCAGUUGAUUCAUCCCAUCCAACCUAUAAAAAUAGUGACAGGCUUCGACUAAAUCAUAAGUCAAUGACAAUGGUAUUUGACUUGAAUAAACAUCAAGUGAGAACUAUCUUGAAGCCAAAAGCAAGAUGUCCACACACAAGUUAAGGAAAAUCAAGUUAACAACCAAAAUGAGCAGAAAUUUGAAAUCUAGAUAUGCACAUGCCUUUAAGACCGUACAAUAGAAAAAUACAAUUAAUGAGCUCAUGAUGCUUGCAAGAUGGUUAAUGCAACUAUGACCCUAGGUUAUAUGCGAAUUGAUUAAAAUCAAGAACCUCAAAGACACAACAUGCCAACAUAUAAUUUGUAUGUGGAUAGAUGCUCUCAUCUUUUUAUGCAUAAAUACACAUCAGCAACUGAGUUAAAAUAUCUGAUAAUCAUGCUAGACUUACAAGCAGCUAAUAAUACCUGAAGAUUGCGCCACUGUGAUUUUUUCCAUCGCAAUGGAUCCAAAUCACUGAUGCCAGUGAUUGUGCCCAUGUAUCUACGAACUCCUGAAUCCUCGGUCUCAAACAUCAUUCUGAAUCUCAUGCCCAGUGAAACUUGUGUAUACAUUGCUUUAUUAUACUUGGCGAAAGGAAUCACAAACUCAGAAGGGCUUGCCCUUGGAUUGUAAAAUACAGUAAACGGGCUGUUAUUAGCGGCAGCAUGAGCUGCAGCAGCAAGAAUUCCAAUAUGCAUGCUGUCACUGGAUAUGACUGACGAAGAAAGUGCUGGCUGUUGUUUAUUAGCAUGCCUUAUACCCAAGAGAAGCUGUGACUUUUCAUCUCUUAUGAAUAGAACAGAAUCACCAGCAAAUAGUCUUUUUGUGCUCACAAAGACACUCCAACCUGUAGUCAGUAGAUGUCUUUUCGGCUGACCGCGAUAAAUAUGUCUAAAUGUCCAUGUAUUGUCAUGUAGAUCUUUGGCUACCAACUCCAGUGCAGGUGGUUGCAUUGAAUAGUCCAGUGGUGGGAAAAUCUUCUCAGCUGCUCGUCGAGGAACAGAGAAUCCACCAUGUGUGCUUGUGUCACUAGCUGUAAGAGUUUUGCAGAAGAAUUCAGUAGGUUGCCUGCUUUGCUUGAGGCCCAUUUCAGAAGCCAGUAAUGCUUCCUUGUCAUAUUUGUUUACGGGUUGAAGGGUCAUCUGAGCAUAGACCUCAUCAGUUUCUACAUCAGCAUGCAAUGUGACAUUAUGAAGCAUGCAAAUCAACUUGGAAGGAAGGUUGGGAUAGUUCGGUAUGAAAUCAGUCUCCUUUUGCAUUGAUGCUGCAACUUGCUCACUGUGGCCUUGAGGGAAGUAAACUACAAGACUUCCAACUGGAGGCAGAGAGACCAAUGGCCCCGCACAAGCAUGCCAUAGCUCCGAAUUAAUAUUCUUCCUUUCUCCUUCUGCAGAAUUAGCCAUAAACCCAUUUGGAGGAACCUUCAUUUUUGCAGAGUAUGAAUAGUAUAAACUGCUCCUUCAGCAAAUCCAAUCACUUGUUCUCUUCCACACAGAUAUUAACCAUAUACCUCUACACCAAACGUCAAUUUUUUUCCAACAUAAACCUGCUUUAGCUCCAAAACCAUUGCCAAUAAUUGCAGGAUCAUUUCACUUAAAGGAAUCAGCUUAACUGCUUAAAAGAGAAUUUUUUUUAAAAAAAUCCCAUACAAUCCAAGAAAUCAAACCUCAAAUAACCAACCAACUGGCACUUAAAUUACCCACGAAACUAAAAAAAUUUCCUUUCUCAGCUAUUUCCUCUUCUACCACAUCUCAAUAAAGAUCAAACUCAAAGAACCCAAAAAUAAAAAAAAGGAAAGAAUCAGAAUGUUUGGUGAAAGGGAAUCCAAAUUUCCACUUUAUAAUUCAUCUAAACAAAAAAGGGUAAAUUUCCCAUUUCAUUUAGGAUCAAUAAGGACCAGACGGAAAACUGACUUAUCAGCGAGAAAUCAGAGACCGAAACAGAAGCAAACGCAAAAGCAAAGAUACCUUUUUUAUUUAUGUGAACAAGCCGAC
rnacentral:misc_RNA from 1 species